rnacentral:rRNA from 1 species
UACGUAGGGUGCAAGCGUUGUCCGGAAUUAUUGGGCGUAAAGAGCUCGUAGGCGGUCUGUUGCGUCGGCUGUGAAAACCUGGGGCUCAACCCCGGGCCUGCAGCCGAUACGGGCAGACUAGAAUUCGGUAGGGGAGACUGGAAUUCCUGGUGUAGCGGUGAAAUGCGCAGAUAUCAGGAGGAACACCGGUGGCGAAGGCGGGUCUCUGGGCCGAUAUUGACGCUGAGGAGCGAAAGCGUGGGGAGCAAACAGG